rnacentral:rRNA from 1 species
CCGGGCGCACGGGUGAGUAACACGUAUCCAACCUGCCGUCUACUCUUGGCCAGCCUUCUGAAAGGAAGAUUAAUCAGGAUGGGAUCAUGAGUUCACAUGUCCGCAUGAUUAAAGGUAUUUUCCGGUAGACGAUGGGGAUGCGUUCCAUUAGAUAGUAGGCGGGGUAACGGCCCACCUAGUCUUCGAUGGAUAGGGGUUCUGAGAGGAAGGUCCCCCACAUUGGAACUGAGACACGGUCCAA